UACGGAGGGUGCAAGCGUUAUCCGGAUUCACUGGGUUUAAAGGGUGCGUAGGUGGGCAGGUAAGUCAGUGGUGAAAUCUCCGAGCUUAACUCGGAACUGCCGUUGAUACUAUUUGUCUUGAAUAUUGUGGAGGUAAGCGGAAUAUGUCAUGUAGCGGUGAAAUGCUUAGAUAUGACAUAGAACACCAAUUGCGAAGGCAGCUUACUACACAACGAUUGACGCUGAGGCACGAAAGCGUGGGUAGCGAACAGG
rnacentral:rRNA from 1 species